CCUACGGGAGGCAGCAGUGAGGAAUAUUGGUCAAUGGACGCGAGUCUGAACCAGCCAAGUAGCGUGAAGGAUGACUGCCCUAUGGGUUGUAAACUUCUUUUAUAUGGGAAUAAAACAUGGUAUGCAUACCCUCUUGUAUGUACCAUAUGUAUAAGGAUCGGCUAACCCCGUGCCAGCAGCCGCGGUAAUACGGAGGAUCCGAGCGUUAUCCGGAUUUAUUGGGUUUAACGGGAGCGUAGGUGGAUUGUUAAGUCAGUUGUGAAAGUUUGCGGCUCAACCGUAAAAUUGCAGUUGAUACUGGCAGGCUUGAGUACAGUAGAGGUGGGCGGAAUUCGUGGUGUAGCGGUGAAAUGCUUAGAUAUCACGAAGAACUCCGAUUGCGAAGGCAGCUCACUGGACUGCAACUGACACUGAUGCUCGAAAGUGUGGGGAUCAAACAGGAUUAGAUACCCGAGUAGUC
rnacentral:rRNA from 1 species